UGGCGGGUGCGAACAAGCGUAUCCUCGCGCGUCGCGCGGCUUCCUCUGCCCCAAACCCUACACCCCACCCCAAUCCCUCCAGCCGCCACUGCCCCACCCAUGUUUCUCCUCGCGCGCUCGCCCCAGACCAGCCGCCGCCGCGCCGCUGGGGCUCGUCCGCCACGGGUUUCCAUGGGGAAGGAGCAGCGACGGGGUAGGCUCCAGGCGGCACACACUUCAUGGGGAGGCAAGGAACCAGAAGGUGAUGGGGUCGGAUCUGGCGGUGGUAGGUCGAAGCUCGAUCCCGAGGCCUAGACGGGGAAGGUUAAAAAAUAGAGAGACCGGAUGGAGGUGGUCGAGGCGGAGGACCGCCAGCCGGUGAGCUCGAGCUUGAGACGGUGAGAUCCCUUUCCCCAUCUCUAUUCUCUCAGUUUCUUCCUCUCCAAAUCUUCAUUUAUCGCCUCUCGCCCUUAGCACAAUUAGCGUCACCGGCCAUUGUAUGGGUUGGAGCACGAGGCAGCGCUCCCGUCACUACGUGGUGGAGCUGCGUAGGAUGGGGAGCAGGCUGGCAACAGGGAUUGGUUCUUCAGUUCAUUUGCUGCAGGACAGAAUGUUCUAUGGGUUGGAGCAGAGGGUGUUGAGCAACAUCUGAGAUUGGGUGAUGCGUUGACCUGAACGGCAUGGUGGUAAGGCAUCAUAAUAGGUGCUACUAUUGGCUAGAAUGGCGCCGUGGUAAGGCAUUCUAAGGUUCCAUAUGAUUAGUGUUUGGGUGACUGUUGUUGAUUCCUACACCGAGUUGUGUUGCUGUACAAAUAGCCUCUCUUGUUGGUGGUGCCACGGUGUCCCUUCCAGGUUUAGCAGCGGGCAAUGCUCAAGACAGAGUUGGGUGCACAUCAUAUAUAUACAUAUGUUGUCGCGUCUUAAUAAAGGGAGAUGAGCAGAAGUAGAGAUGAGAUAUCUAUCUGACUGUCAUCCUUCCAAGACUUGGGUUUGUCAUCUCUGUCAGCGUCCGCUUUUGCUUCCUUCGUUGGUUGUCGCUUCUUUGUACACUGCUGUAGUUUAGAGAUUGUAAUAUAUUUUCCAUGGAUACAAUUGAAUAUGACACCCAAUUUGCUAUAUAAUUGUUCAGCUCUCUCUCAUAGCGAUUCAUACAAAAUAUCAUGCAUAAUGGUCCCAGUUUAAGUAGAAUAUAACCAUUGGAUUAUUCAAACUUUGCUCGUGUGUCACAGGGCACCAUAACUUUAAUCCGACAUGAGCAGUGCAACCACGACAGUGAGCAGUGGAAUCACAAGAUAGAGAUAGACACAAGUAGAAUAUAACUGGUCAUAUUUCUACAAUGACCACACUACUUAUGGUGCCGGAAGAGAAGGCAUCAGUGAUAGUGGGCUUGGUGAUGAGGGCAUCAAUACAAAGAUAUUAAUUCACAACUCUGUUCUUGAUAGGUUGUACAAAUAUAUAAGGUUACUGUUUCCUUUUAUGUUUAAAUAGCUUUGUGAGUACAAUUAUAUGAAAAUUCUGUGAUUCAUGGUGCGGAAGCAGGCAUCUUUGUUUUCUUGAGUGAAAAUACUUAGUUUCAUGCCUCCAUAGUAUUAUUUAGAGGCACAAUCCAAUGAUAGAUUCCUACUUAUAGCUAGCUAAUAUAUAGCGUUUGAUGGUACUGUAUGAUGUUGUAAAUACAAAAUAUGCUGCAUGAGCAUUACUUUUAUUUUGAAUUUAAUUUAGUGUUUGAGCCUCUUUUA